UAUAGGUUUUCAGCAACUCUCCAGGGUGAAAUGACGGUAAGACGACCCUGAAAUUGGUCUGAAUACUGCAGGUCUGCAACGUUCUUCAUUCCGGCUAUUUUCAAGACUCGUGGAAACCACCUUGAGGGCAAUAAUGGGCAAAGCUAGAGAAUCUGCUUCCUGUUUAGCGUCUAGCUGUUGAACUCACUGGAGCAUUUAUCAACUAAACGAGCCAGAUACUUCCCUCGGAGACGGUGGAGACCGAACAGAGUGAAUAUCGGACAGUACUAAAUUUCAUUGGCCUAAUGAAAGAAGACCUGACUCCUGCCACAUGUUUCUGGCCUCAUUGAUUACCUGUUGGCCCCCCCAGAUGCAGCCCCCCACAGGGAUAAACAGAGGAGGAAUAAGGCAACAAAAGUGAACCGUGAGUGCUUCAGCUAGCCUCUCCUACCUUUGCCACUGCUGGCUUCAAAAACAACAAUUAUUCUAAGUCAUUUAUCACCUCCUUCAGCCAGAGAUCAGAGCAGACUCUCUGUCAGGGAGACCCUUUUUGAUGAACACUAUCAAGCAGUGCAUUGCUGGUUGGAUUUCUGUUUGAAGCAAUGAUCAUAUGCGGGUUUCCUUGGAGUUUGUUCUUGGGGUUUUCCAACUUUUGAAUGCAGGAAUUCUCUGCCUCCCAUCCCUCUCUGGCUGCUCCUCGACCCCCUGUG